GUAUGAAAAUUUUUUACAAUCCUUGAACUUGAAAGAGUAGCACAUUGGGAAUAUAGGGUGUGUAACCUGUUGAAGCUCUUCAAGUUAGACUGAUUGUGAUGCAUAAGUAUGUAUUAUGAGUAUACCAAAACAGAAUAUCAGUGUAUCCCAAUCCAAACAGAAAUAUUAUUGCGAGUAAUUUAUCCAAGAACUCAACUGUGGUGCUGUUUGGUACAAUUUCCUAAGUAUUGCAGUAUUGGGACCUCUUGGUAUUACUUGGGGCUAAU
rnacentral:misc_RNA from 1 species